rnacentral:rRNA from 1 species
UACAGAGGUCCCAAGCGUUGUUCGGAUUCAUUGGGCGUAAAGGGUGCGUAGGCGGCGCGGUAAGUCGGGUGUGAAAUCUCGGGGCUUAACUCCGAAACUGCAUUCGAUACUGCCGUGCUUGAGGACUGGAGAGGAGACUGGAAUUUACGGUGUAGCGGUGAAAUGCGUAGAUAUCGUAAGGAAGACCAGUGGCGAAGGCGAAUCUCUGGACAGUUACUGACACUGAGGCACGAAGGCCAGGGGAGCAAACGGG